rnacentral:rRNA from 1 species
UACAGGGGGGGCAAGCGUUGUUCGGAAUUACUGGGCGUAAAGGGCCAGUAGGCGGCCAACUAAGUCACACGUGAAAUCCCCAAGCUUAACUUGGGAACUGCAUCCGAUACUGGAUGGCUUGAAUCCGGGAGAGGGAUGCAGAAUUCCAGGUGUAGCGGUGAAAUGCGUAGAGAUCAUGAGGAAGACCAGUGGCGAAGGCGGGUCUCUGGACAGUUCCUGACACUGAGGCACGAAGGCCAGGGGAGCAAACGGG